CCUACGGGUGGCAGCAGUGGGGAAUAUUGCACAAUGGGCGCAAGCCUGGUGCAGCCAUGCCGCGUGUGUGAAGAAGGCCUUCGGGUUGUAAAGCACUUUCAGCGGGGAGGAAGGCGGUGAGGUUAAUAACCUCAUCGAUUGACGUUACCCGCAGAAGAAGCACCGGCUAACUCCGUGCCAGCAGCCGCGGUAAUACGGAGGGUGCAAGCGUUAAUCGGAAUUACUGGGCGUAAAGCGCACGCAGGCGGUCUGUCAAGUCGGAUGUGAAAUCCCCGGGCUCAACCUGGGAACUGCAUUCGAAACUGGCAGGCUAGAGUCUUGUAGAGGGGGGUAGAAUUCCAGGUGUAGCGGUGAAAUGCGUAGAGAUCUGGAGGAAUACCGGUGGCGAAGGCGGCCCCCUGGACAAAGACUGACGCUCAGGUGCGAAAGCGUGGGGAGCAAACAGGAUUAGAUACCCCAGUAGUC
rnacentral:rRNA from 1 species